rnacentral:rRNA from 1 species
CCUACGGGUGGCAGCAGUGGGGAAUAUUGGGCAAUGGGCGCAAGCCUGACCCAGCCACGCCGCGUGAGGGAAGACGGCUUUCGGGUUGGAAACUUCUUUUCUGCGGGACGAAGAAAGUGACGGUACCUCAGGAAUAAGCCACCGCUAAAUACGUGCCAGCAUCCGCGCGAAUACGGAGGUGGGAAGCGUUAUCCGGAUUGAUUGGGUGUAAAGGGCGUGUAGGCGGGAAAGCAAGUCAGAUGUGAAAACUCAGGGCUCAACCCUGAGCCUGCAUUUGAAACUGUUUUUCUUGAGUGCUGGAGAGGCAAUCGGAAUGCCGGGUGUAGCGGUGAAAUGCGUAGAUAUACGGAGGAACACCAGUGGCGAAGGCAGAUUGCUGGACAGUAACUGACGCUGAGGCGCGAAAGCGUGGGGAGCAAACAGGAUUAGAUACCCUAGUAGUC